AGGGUAUUAAAUUUUUUGGCUGCUAACCAAUAAUAAGCGGUUAAUUUUCCGUUAUUCCCUU
rnacentral:tRNA from 2 species